UACGUAGGGCGCAAGCGUUGUCCGGAAUUAUUGGGCGUAAAGAGCUCGUAGGCGGCUUGUCACGUCGGAUGUGAAAGCCCGGGGCUUAACCCCGGGUCUGCAUUCGAUACGGGCAGGCUAGAGUGUGGUAGGGGAGAUCGGAAUUCCUGGUGUAGCGGUGAAAUGCGCAGAUAUCAGGAGGAACACCGGUGGCGAAGGCGGGUCUCUGGGCCGAUACUGACGCUGAGGAGCGAAAGCGUGGGGAGCGAACAGG
rnacentral:rRNA from 1 species